rnacentral:rRNA from 1 species
GAGUUUGAUCCUGGCUCAGAGCGAACGCUGGCGGCGUGCUUAACACAUGCAAGUCGAACGCGCAGCAUUCUGCAGCAAUACAGGGUGUGGGCGCGUGGCGAACGGGUGCGUAACACGUGGAUAACCUUCCUUCAGGUGGGGAAUAACCCAGUGAAAAUUGGGCUAAUACCGCAUAACAUGACGAUGGCACAUGCCGUUGUCUUCAAAGGCGCAAGUCGCCAGAAGAGGGAUCCGCGGCCGAUUAGCUUGUUGGCGAGGUAAUGGCUCACCAAGGCAUUGAUCGGUAGCCGGACUGAGAGGUUGACCGGCCACACUGGAACUGAGACACGGUCCAGACUCCUACGGGAGGCAGCAGUGGGGAAUCUUGCACAAUGGACGAAAGUCUGAUGCAGCAACGCCGCGUGGGGGAUGAAGCUUCUCGGAGUGUAAACCCCUUUCGACCCGGAAGAAUGCCCGCAAGGGCUUGACGGUACGGGUAUAAGAAGCCCCGGCUAACUACGUGCCAGCAGCCGCGGUAAUACGUAGGGGGCCAGCGUUGCUCGGAAUUACUGGGCGUAAAGGGUCCGUAGGCGGUGCGGCAAGUCGAGAGUGAAAUCCCUAGGCUUAACCUAGGGGCUGCUAGCGAAACUGCCGUGCUAGAGUGUGAGAGAGGCGAGUGGAAUUACGGGUGUAGCGGUGAAAUGCGUAGAUAUCCGUAGGAACAUCCGAGGCGAAAGCGGCUCGCUGGAUCACAACUGAC